GAUUAAGUUAUUAAGGGCGCACGGUGGAUGCCUUGGCACUAGAAGCCGAUGAAGGACGUUACUAACGACGAUAUGCUUUGGGGAGCUGUAAGUAAGCUUUGAUCCAGAGAUUUCCGAAUGGGGAAACCCAGCAUGAGUUAUGUCAUGUUAUCGAUAUGUGAAUACAUAGCAUAUCAGAAGGCACACCCGGAGAACUGAAACAUCUUAGUACCCGGAGGAAGAGAAAGAAAAUUCGAUUCCCUUAGUAGCGGCGAGCGAAACGGGAAGAGCCCAAACCAACAAGCUUGCUUGUUGGGGUUGUAGGACACUCUAUACGGAGUUACAAAGGACGACAUUAGACGAAUCAUCUGGAAAGAUGAAUCAAAGAAGGUAAUAAUCCUGUAGUCGAAAAUGUUGUCUCUCUUGAGUGGAUCCUGAGUACGACGGAGCACGUGAAAUUCCGUCGGAAUCUGGGAGGACCAUCUCCUAAGGCUAAAUACUCUCUAGUGACCGAUAGUGAACCAGUACCGUGAGGGAAAGGUGAAAAGCACCCCGGAAGGGGAGUGAAAUAGAACCUGAAACCGUGUGCUUACAAGUAGUCAGAGCCCGUUAAUGGGUGAUGGCGUGCCUUUUGUAGAAUGAACCGGCGAGUUACGAUUUGAUGCAAGGUUAAGCAGUAAAUGUGGAGCCGUAGCGAAAGCGAGUCUGAAUAGGGCGUUUAGUAUUUGGUCGUAGACCCGAAACCAGGUGAUCUACCCUUGGUCAGGUUGAAGUUCAGGUAACACUGAAUGGAGGACCGAACCGACUUACGUUGAAAAGUGAGCGGAUGAACUGAGGGUAGCGGAGAAAUUCCAAUCGAACCUGGAGAUAGCUGGUUCUCUCCGAAAUAGCUUUAGGGCUAGCCUCAAGUGAUGAUUAUUGGAGGUAGAGCACUGUUUGGACGAGGGGCCCCUCUCGGGUUACCGAAUUCAGACAAACUCCGAAUGCCAAUUAAUUUAACUUGGGAGUCAGAACAUGGGUGAUAAGGUCCAUGUUCGAAAGGGAAACAGCCCAGACCACCAGCUAAGGUCCCAAAAUA
rnacentral:rRNA from 1 species